rnacentral:rRNA from 1 species
CCCAGACUCCUACGGGAGGCAGCAGUGGGGAAUAUUGCACAAUGGGGGAAACCCUGAUGCAGCGACGCCGCGUGAGUGAAGAAGUAUUUCGGUAUGUAAAGCUCUAUCAGCAGGGAAGAAAAUGACGGUACCUGACUAAGAAGCCCCGGCUAACUACGUGCCAGCAGCCGCGGUAAUACGUAGGGGGCAAGCGUUAUCCGGAUUUACUGGGUGUAAAGGGAGCGUAGACGGCAGCGCAAGUCUGGAGUGAAAUGCCGGGGCCCAACCCCGGAACUGCUCUGGAAACUGUGAAGCUGGAGUGCAGGAGAGGUAAGCGGAAUUCCCGGUGUAGCGGUGAAAUGCGCAGAUAUCAGGAGGAACACCGGCGGCGAAGGCGGCUUACUGGACUGUAACUGACGUUGAGGCUCGAAGGCGUGGGGAGCAAACAGGAUUAGAUACCCCCGUAAA